AACUCCUCAUCUUCAUAUAAGCUCUCUAUUAGUGGCACACUUGUGGAGAUCUCAGGCCAGAACUGAUCCACAAAUUUAUUAAGGUUAUACAGGGCGUGUUGCUUGAGUUGCGGGUGGCUCUCGUUAAGCAUCGCCAGCAACGCACCGGCCGAGCUCACCAUCGUCGCUGCCAUUGCUUCGGCCGGGGGGAAGAGAAUAUAGAAACUUUGAUGUUGAAGAGAAAGGAAUGAAUGAGAGGAAAAAAAAAAAAAAAAAAAAAAGAUACUCGAUGGAGA
rnacentral:misc_RNA from 1 species